UCGGGAAUAUUGGUCAAUGGGGGAAACCCUGAACCAGCAACUCCGCGUGAGGGAUGAAGGCCUUCGGGUCGUAAACCUCUGUCAGAAGGGAAGAAAAUGGCCGAGUCGAAUAGGCUCGGUUACUGACGGUACCUUCAAAGGAAGCACCGGCUAACUCCGUGCCAGCAGCCGCGGUAAUACGGAGGGUGCAAGCGUUGUUCGGAAUUAUUGGGCGUAAAGCGGGUGUAGGCGGCUUUGCAAGUCGGGUGUGAAAUCCCUGGGCUCAACCCAGGAACUGCAUUCGAUACUGCAUCGCUAGAGUCCCGGAGAGGAUGGCGGAAUUCCAGGUGUAGAGGUGAAAUUCGUAGAUAUCUGGAGGAACACCAGUGGCGAAGGCGGCCAUCUGGACGGUGACUGACGCUCAGACCCGAAAGCGUGGGGAGCAAACAGG
rnacentral:rRNA from 1 species